CCUCUAAGAACAUGUGAAGGCUCAUUACCAAGUUCUUCCAUCCCCACAAUACUGCCCACCUCCUGUCUGCCCUUGCCAUCCCAUAGGACAUGGCAGUUGCUGUUCUCUCUGGGUGUGGGUCCAAGCUCCCAGUUGCCCUUGGACAGUGUGCUGUUGGGGAGGGAGGCUUGGGCUUGACCAGAGCCUGUGAAAGGACCAGGAGACUGAUGCUAAGCUGAGGGCUGUCCACAUGUGUACAGGCUGCUGCCUCAGGAGGAAGGUAGUCACCUUGUCUUCCAGCCUGGCCCAGUCUGUCAGCAGGAGAGGGUAGCUUUCUUUGGCAUGGGACAGGAGCACCACUUGCUCUCUACCUUUUUCCUCCCUGUCCGUUCGUGGGGACUUGCUGCCAUUCAGGUCUGCCCCAGGGUGCUCUGCUUUCUGCCAGGACCUGGGCAGCUGUUGGUGUGAUCAUGGGUUGAGGAGUGGGCAGUGUAAGUGGGGGUAGUUCUGGGACUAUUCAGGGGCCCAGCUGAAGCUGGACCCUUCCUGUGCCCUUGAAUAGCCUUCCUUGCUCAGCCCUUCACUUGGGAAGAGGAGAGGGCCUGGUAGAGUGUGACUUUCAGUUACAGCAUCUCCUUCCUGCCUGCAGCAGGUCAAUGGCCAACAAGGAGGGGGGUCCGAGCCAGCAGCGGCGGCAGUGGUGGCAGCGGGAGACAAAUGGAAACCUCCACAGGUACUGAUCUCAAGCAUCCUCUCCCUCAGGCCGCCUGUCUGCCCGCCCGCCUGUCUGCCCGCCCGCCUGCCUGCCCGCCUACCCGCCUGCCUGCAUGUCCCUGGGGCCAGAGAGGCCUGGCUAGGGCAGGUGGGGAGAAGCCCAGGGAUCCUUCCCUGCCUUCUGAGCAGACAUCGUCUGCAAGACUGUGGCCCAUCCCUGAGCCUCUCCUGAUCCCUCCCCACCCUAUUUCUGGCCUGGCUUCUCUCCUAUGGGUCUCUCCUGCCUCAAGCCCUGGUCAGGGCCUGGCAGUGGGCUGGCUGGGCAGGGGCAUUGGGUACUGCACUUUAGCUGUGCUUGCUCCUUGCUGCCAACUUGGUGCAGAAGGGGGUAGACUUUCUGUUGCAAGACAGGCAAUGUUUUGUUUAGAGCCAGAAGUACAGAUUUUCAUUUUAGUUUUGUUUUUAUUUAGACAACAAAACAACAUACAAAGUCAAAGCACAAGUGUGGGAAUCCAGCCCCCACCUUCUCUGCAUCCCAGGCUCAGGGUGGGUGAAACAGGUCUUGUCCUGCUCUAGUAAAAUGGCCCAUGGGAGCAAGCCCUCUGGGAAGUGGAGCUGGGCUCUGUUGUCACUGGGUGACAGUUUUCUUUGUGCCUGUCUGUGGCUGUACCUGCCACCAGAGGGUUCUGGCAGGCCUCUUGGGCCUAGUCCCUCCUCCUGGCCCCCAGGCACCCUCAGGAGUGGGACAGGGGUGUGGUGUGUCACCUAGACCCUGGGAAGCUUUGGGUCUGAAGCUCCAACCCCAGCUGCUGUCCAGCAGCCAUUGGUGGGUGGGAGAAGGGCCUUUUGUUCACCAAGACAAAGAGGAGAUUGAAAAGUUUCUAGGGGGUGAGGGGAACUGGCAUUGAUUUCCAUGGUGACAGCCUGCUCUAGCAUUCCAGCUUCUGCUUGGGCCCUCUCCCACUAAGGAGGAAUGGGCUUGGGGCCAGCUGGGAGGGCAAAGAAAGGCCUAGUAUGAGCCAUACUGCAGCUCACCCACUGCCAGACCUUGCUAUAUCUUGGGGCCUGCUUGCAGUUCUGGUUGCCCAGGAAGGCCUUCUAGCCUUCUUACCUUUUGACCUUGGGCUAGAAACCCCGCACUCAGGAGUCCAGGAUGGGGGUCUUAGAGUUUGGGUCAGCUGAACCCUGCUGGCUUUCUUUGAUCCCCAGCCGUUGCUCCCACUCAUGGUCUGGAUUCUUUCCUCUCUUUCCCUCUCAAGGCUGUGUCUGGAAGCCGGGAAGGGUGUUGGUCUUUUGAGUUGGUAGGCAGGCAGGCAGGCUCUGUCCACCCUCCAUCCCACCACCCCCGCUCUGCUGGCUCUAGUGCUGGGCUUCUCUCCCUGCUUGGAUGGCUGUGUCCCCCUGCAAAAACCUGGAAGUGGAUUAGACAAAAGGAAUGUAAACAUGACCCUAAACAUAAUCCACUUAGGUUCGCAGCCUGCUGUGGCGAGCCCACCCCUGCCCAAGUGCCUCCUGGUUUGUUGACGUGGUUGGCUGGGUGCUGUCUCCCUGGGGUUGCUCUGUUCCUGGUUCUCCCAGGGGGCUUAGCACAUCGUGAAGUCUGAUAGAGGCAGGCUGGAGCCCCCUUAGGGCUCAUGUGGCCUGGGAGUGCUUAGACUCUGUGAUGUGUGCACAGGGCCUUGUCUGUAGGGCCAAGGAUGGACAUUGUCAGGAAGGAGGCCCUUUGUCUGUACUUGCUCCUUGGCCGGCCCCUGGAACUCGAAGCUGUGUCUGUGUCCAUAACAGGGGCUGUGAACAAUCUUAAGAGGCCAGGAUGCCAGGUGGCAUAGGAGUAAGGAGUCCCUGAAUGCCCUGAAAAUACCAGCCCUACUCCUCCUUCCCUGGAAAACAGCUAGCCUGGAUCCCCUGCAGGAGGUGGGGUGGAAGCUCUGGGAGCAGUCUGGCAACGAGGGCUGGCUCCUUUCCUAUCACCCCCUACCUGCCUGGGUAGCUCCUAAGGAGUCUUCUGUGGUCUGGGCCCCUUAACUGCUUCAGGAUGGUGCCAGGGCCCCCAGAGUACCCACUUGCCUCAGUCUAUGUUCCACCCAUGGGUCCUGGGGGAGAAAGGCCUAGGAUGGGGACAGCAGAGUUAGAAGGGGGUCCUAUAUCCACGCAGUCAGUAGACAGCCUGGUUUUGGGCUGGUCCCUCCCUGGGAAGAGGCUGGGGAGAUGGAGGGUGGGGUUUCUGGGACCACACAAGGGAGACCUGAGCCUGCUGCUACAUGACUCCCUUGCUUCACCUUCUAGGGCACAGAUUCCAUCAAGAUGGAGAAUGGACAGAGCACAGCCGCCAAGCUGGGGCUGCCUCCCCUGACGCCUGAGCAGCAGGAGGCCCUCCAGAAGGUGAGCACCUUCCUCCAGAGCCUGUGGGCAUGGCUGCUGAGCUGGGUGAGUGGGGGCACACCAUCUCCCUGCGGGCGGGCCCCCCAGUGCUCCUCACUGCUGUCUCUCGCAGGCCAAGAAGUAUGCCAUGGAGCAGAGCAUCAAGAGCGUGCUGGUGAAGCAGACCAUCGCACACCAGCAGCAGCAGCUCACCAACCUGCAGGUGAGCCCCACCACUCUCCCUCCACCCCACUUCACUGUCUCGGGGGCUGGCUCUGCUGGAGGCUGUCCUGCCCAGCCUGGGCCAGGAGGCCUCCACUGCCCCUCCCCAUCACCUACACCAUCUCCUCCUCCUCCUUCUCUUCCUCCUCCUGUGCCUGUGGCCAUCCCCUAAAGGUGUUAUGAUUCUCAUACUCUCAAGGACUCAUUCUCAAGAUCCCAGGGUCCUCCCUGAGGCUCCAGCGGCCCAGCUUUUCUGCCUGUUGCUCACUAUGGCCCCUUCUCACCUGCCUCCCUGCUCCUUCUCUGUAGCUCUGCCCCAUUCACCCUUGGGGUCUCCCCCACACCCUUGUCCCCCAGGCUGUGCACAGCUAUAGUGGCACUGUGUAGGGUAUGUCCUCCCUACCCCCAUGGUCAGGCCCCACCCUUCUGCAUCCAGACCACCUGGGCUGGGACCCAGGACUGAGGGGACAGUCUAGGGGUGCCUCACUGGGCCAUGCUCUAGACUAGAGGCUGUGCUUUCUGUGUGGGGCCAGUAGGUUCCUGGGCCUUGUGCCCUCCCCCUGCCCAGGCCAGUCCUCAGACAUUCACGCUGCCAGGAGAUGUCCUGGCUGUUCACCGUGCUCCAUCAGUCCCUCUCCUCCCUCCCUCCCUUCCUUCUGCCCUGGCCAGUCCUGCUGCAAAGUCUGCAGGGCAGGGCACCUGGGGCUCUGCGGCCCCCCUGGGCAGGUGCCGUUGCAGUGUGGGAAGGCAGGCGGGCCUCCCUGGCAGGGCGGGGACUCCGGGCCUGGCCGCUGUCUGCGUGAGGUGUUGACGAGAGCGGGAGACUGCUCGGCUCCAACAGACUGAACUCUGUCUUUACUGUCUUUCAGAUGGCAGCAGUGACAAUGGGCUUUGGAGAUCCUCUCUCACCUUUGCAAUCGGUCAAUAGAAAUGCUCACUUCUUCCGGGGCUCAUGUCCUUAGUCAGGGCUAGAGGGGGGCAGUGCAGCCCACUGCUGGGGACCUUGCUCCCCUGGCCGGCCCUGCCCGUCAGCUCUGGACGAGCACAGCAGAGCGCCAGGCAUGGCGGGGCCAGUGGUGUGGGCACCCACCCCGGGACCGCCCCUGGGGAGGCCUCCAUCUGCUCUGAGGGCCCGCCUUAAAACUAACCGGCCAGGUAACUGCAGAGGGCAGCCGCGGCAGCCAGCCAGGGAGGGUAGCUGCCGGUGCCAGGCUCGUCUGUGCCCUGCUGCCCCACGCAGGGUGCACCACGGGCCACCAGGUCGCCAGUCUCCAGGCUGCCUAGGCUCUUGGGUUGGGCUGAAGACCCUGAGGAGAGAGGGGUCCUGACUUGUGGCCCCAUCAGACCCUGGAGGGAGGACGGAGGGGAGGUGGGGGGUGGGGGGAUGAGUGAGUGAGAAAGGGAAGGGCGAAGAUUUGGGCCAUGGGCCUGGGCUGUCAGCAAGGUCUAGAGGCCAAGGAGGAGGCAGAGGCCAUAGCUGCGGGGCUGCAGCAAGCAGAGUCUUUUCCUGCCCCACAGGCAGUCUGAGGCGGCCAGACACCAUCCUGGGGAGGAUCCUGAGGGGGAGAUAUGGCCCUUUCUCUGGGGGCCAUUUGGAGGACUUGGGCCAAUCCUGAGCGAGCUUCCCUCAUUGGGGAGACACUGUGUGUCAGAAAGGCAGCUGUCGACCCUCUGAAGACACCUGGGCUAUGGGGGUUGUGGUCAGGGAGAAAGCUGUUUGCCCACCUGUAGAUGGGGAGUCCCACCUUGAAGGGGAGGCAUGGCCCUUUCUUGGGGAACAUAGGCCUGAGGGACAGAUGGGGCUUCAUCUUGAUGUAAGCGGAAGCCUGGGGCCUAUUUGUUAGGGAACCCAGUUUGAGGAGGGAAGAGUCAAGUUUUCAGAGACUUGCUAGUUUGAGGGAAGGUCGUCCCAACCAUGGGGAGUCUGUGUUGGGCAGCUAGACUCUAAGGGAGGGGCCAGGCCUGUGCCAGGCUUUUUGACACAGAUAGGAGUAAACUGGUCUCUGCUGGGAACCUUCACAAGGGCCAGGGGAGCCCUUGUUCGUGUUCAGGCAGGGUCCUGGGGCGUGUCUUCCUGUGGCCCACAGUGCUUGGCUCUGGAACUCCCUGCCUGGCACAGCUGUGAGGUGGCAGGGGAGAGAUCCCCAUUCUUGAGGGUUCAGGGAGGUUCCUCAACGCAGUGGCCCAGCCCACAACCAAGGCUUGCCAGUUUCCCAGCUCCAGGGAGCCCCAAGGUUUCUCAGUUGGGUUCUCCGCUGCCUCAUGACACUUCUGGGGACCAGGCCAGUGGCUCUUGCCUGUGCUCUUGUGGCUCCAGGCGUAGGCUCUAGCAGCUCUUUUUAGAGGGGAGCGGGGCGUUGGGAUGGGAAGAGUAUAGGUCACUGAGCCCCUGCCUGAGUUGGUCCCGCACGAGCGACUAUUCCUCGUUCUCUCCAGGGAGCCCCCGUCUGGGCUCCUGAACUCCCCUGGGGUUUCUUCUGGGCAGUGGCUGCCCCGUCUUCUGUCACCCUCUCUUCUGGCCUCCAUGCCAGCCAGUCCCUCCAGCUUGGAUGACUCCUCCUUCCCUUUUCUGUUGCAGUACUUGGCUGGGAAGGUGGGAGGAUCUCCCAGCCCGGCCCGGGGUACCUGACCCUGGGACUGGAGGGUGAGCGUGGUGGGAGGGCGCAGAGCCCUGCCUCCUGGCCACCAGUCAGUUUUGCAGCUGCAGUCUGCCUGGGACUGGGCGGGCUGGGCUCGUCUGUGUACUGCUGUUGGGCCUGGCCUUCUUCAGGGUGGGGUCCUGCUGACCCCUGUGCCCUGACUUUAGGGGCCAAGCCUGCAUCUUGCUGCUGGGUGGGGAUCACUCCCCACCGCAGAGUUCAUGGGGCAGGUGGGUGGGCCAGGAGGGGAGAGGGCUGCUAAGCCCCUUGCCUGCCUCCCUGACAAGCCAGUGGCGCUCUCUCCUUCUGUUCUGCUAUAGAUGGCAGCUCAGCGGCAGCGGGCACUGGCCAUCAUGUGCCGGGUCUACGUGGGCUCCAUCUACUAUGAGCUAGGGGAGGACACCAUUCGCCAGGCCUUUGCCCCUUUUGGCCCCAUCAAAAGCAUUGACAUGUCCUGGGAUUCUGUCACUAUGAAGCACAAGGUGAGCAGACUAGGUCUACCCCAGUUGCCUUGGCCUACCCUCCUUGGGGUUCUUCCAAGCCUGAUAGGGUUUCCUGUGUCUAGGGCUUUGCCUUUGUGGAAUAUGAAGUCCCAGAAGCUGCACAGCUGGCCUUGGAGCAGAUGAACUCAGUGAUGCUGGGAGGCAGGAACAUCAAGGUGAGGGUGUGGGUGCAGGUGUUGGGCUUUUGGGCCUUGAGAAUGUUCUGUCUAGUCUCCCAGAUGUGUCGAGCAACCUCACAGAAGCCUGCUGUGACUAAGUCUGACAGGUGCUCUCGGUCCCUUCCCCUUCCCCAGGUGGGUAGGCCCAGCAACAUAGGGCAGGCCCAGCCCAUCAUCGACCAGCUGGCUGAGGAGGCACGGGCCUUCAACCGUAUCUACGUGGCCUCCGUGCACCAGGACCUCUCGGAUGAUGACAUCAAGAGUGUGUUUGAGGCCUUUGGCAAGAUCAAGUCUUGCACACUAGCCCGGGACCCCACAACUGGCAAGCACAAGGGCUACGGCUUCAUUGGUGAGCUGGGGGUGCUGAGGAGAGGUGGGGGCCCACCUGGUGCUGGGACUGGCCCUCCUCACUGCUGCUCCUGCCCUGCAGAGUACGAGAAGGCCCAGUCGUCCCAGGAUGCUGUGUCCUCCAUGAACCUCUUUGAUCUGGGUGGCCAGUACUUGCGGGUGGGCAAGGCUGUCACACCCCCCAUGCCCCUGCUAACACCUGCCACCCCAGGAGGCCUUCCGCCUGCUGCCGCUGUGGCCGCAGCUGCAGCCACAGCCAAGAUCACAGCUCAGGUGAGGGGGUGGACAGGUGCUCUAGUCAUUUGGGAGCCAGCUCUUGAUAUGGUCUUGGGUGGAGGUAGCCAGACUGGGGACUGAGUGUGGUUGCCUUCUGGGUUGCAGGAAGCAGUGGCUGGAGCAGCUGUGUUGGGUACCUUGGCAACACCUGGACUGGUGUCCCCAGCACUGACCUUGGCUCAACCCCUAGGGGCUCUGCCCCAGGCUGUCAUGGCUGCCCAAGCUCCUGGAGUCAUCACAGGUGAGUCUGAGUAGGCCAAGGCUCUCCAGGCAUUCCUGCCCCUCAUUUCUAGGCUCUCUGCCUUCACCUGCCCAGGGUGGGCUGGCCAUGGCGACCAGCUCUGCUUCCUGCUAAGGUGGGGGUUGUGGGGAUAGCUGCUGGACCUGGUUGGUUUUGCUGCAGGUGUGACCCCGGCCCGUCCUCCCAUUCCGGUCACCAUCCCCUCUGUGGGGGUGGUGAACCCCAUCCUGGCUAGCCCCCCAACACUGGGUCUCCUGGAGCCCAAGAAGGAGAAGGAAGAGGAGGAGCUGUUUCCUGAGUCUGAACGGCCAGAGAUGCUAAGUGAGCAGGAGCACAUGAGCAUCUCUGGCAGCAGUGCCCGCCACAUGGUCAUGCAGAAGCUGCUGCGCAAGCAGGAGGUGGGUGAACAGACCCUGGGUCGGGAUGUAGGGGUGGGGAACAUCUAGGCAGGCCACAGUGCUCAGCUGUCUCCUCCCCACAGUCCACAGUGAUGGUUCUCCGCAACAUGGUGGAUCCCAAGGACAUCGAUGAUGACCUGGAAGGAGAGGUGACAGAGGAGUGUGGCAAGUUUGGUGCUGUCAACCGUGUCAUCAUCUACCAAGAGAAGCAGGGUGAAGAGGAGGAUGCAGAAAUAAUUGUAAAGAUUUUUGUGGAGUUUUCCAUGGCCUCAGAGACUCACAAGGCCAUCCAGGCCCUCAACGGGCGCUGGUUCGCUGGCCGCAAGGUGGUGGCUGAAGUGUAUGACCAGGAGCGUUUUGAUAACAGUGACCUGUCUGCGUGACCUUGGGCCAGUUUUCUGGACUUGCACUUGUUCCUUGUUUCCUCUGGGUUUUAUAGUGAUAAACAGUGGUGUCCCUGGGACCAGGCACUCGGCUCUACCAAGCCCAACCUGUAGUGUGCAUAAAGUGCAGAUGCUGCUGGCCCUGAGCAUCCCUGUGUCCG
rnacentral:lncRNA from 1 species